rnacentral:ncRNA from 1 species
UACUCUGGAAAGCGCCCCUUCUAGGGGCCACCGAAGGGGUAAGCCGGCGGUGCCGGCGAAAGCUCUCAGGUUCCCGUGACAGAGGGGG